rnacentral:tRNA from 2 species
GCAGUUGUGGCCGAGUGGUUAAGGCGUCUGACUCGAAAUCAGAUGGGCUCUGCCCGCGCAGGUUCGAAUCCUGCCGACUGCG